DGCCCUUUGCCAGCAGCCGCGGGUAAUACGUAGGGUGCGAGCGUUGUCCGGAAUUAUUGGGCDKUAAAGAGCUUGUAGGCGGUUUGUCGCGUCUGCCGUGAAAAUCCGGGGCUCAACUCCGGACUUGCGGUGGGUACGGGCAGACUAGAGUGUGGUAGGGGAGACUGGAAUUCCUGGUGUAGCGGUGAAAUGCGCAGAUAUCAGAAGGAACACCGAUGGCGAAGGCAGGUCUCUGGGCCACUACUGACGCUGAAGAAGCGAAAGCGUGGGGAGCGAACAGGAUUAGAUACCCUGGUAGUCC
rnacentral:rRNA from 1 species